GACGAACGCUGGCGGCGUGCUUAACACAUGCAAGUCGAACGAAGUGGCGAACGGGUGAGUAACGCGUAAUCAACCUGCCCUUCAGCGGGGGACAACAGUUGGAAACGACUGCUAAUACCGCAUACUGAAGGAGGGGAUUGCGUCUGCUUAGCUAGUUGGAGGGGUAACGGCCCACCAAGGCGAUGAUCAGUAGACGGUCUUGGAGGAUGAACGGCCACAAUGGGACUGAGACACGGCCCAGGCUCCUACGGGAGGCAGCAGUGGGGAAUCUUCCGAAAUGGACGAAAAGCUGACGGAGCAACGCCGCGUGAGGGAUGACGGCCUUCGGGUUGGAAAGCUCUGUUAAUCGGGACGCGGUACCGGAAUAGAAAGCCACGGCUAACUACGUGCCAGCAGCCGCGGUAAUUC
rnacentral:rRNA from 1 species